CACACUAUCAUUAACUGAAUCCAUAGGUUAAUGAGGCGAACCGGGGGAACUGAAACAUCUAAGUACCCCGAGGAAAAGAAAUCAACCGAGAUUCCCCCAGUAGCGGCGAGCGAACGGGGAGCAGCCCAGAGCCUGAAUCAGUGUGUGUGUUAGUGGAAGCGUCUGGAAAGGCGCGCGAUACAGGGUGACAGCCCCGUACACAAAAAUGCACAUGCUGUGAGCUCGAUGAGUAGGGCGGGACACGUGGUAUCCUGUCUGAAUAUGGGGGGACCAUCCUCCAAGGCUAAAUACUCCUGACUGACCGAUAGUGAACCAGUACCGUGAGGGAAAGGCGAAAAGAACCCCGGCGAGGGGAGUGAAAAAGAACCUGAAACCGUGUACGUACAAGCAGUGGGAGCCUCUUUAUGGGGUGACUGCGUACCUUUUGUAUAAUGGGUCAGCGACUUAUAUUCUGUAGCAAGGUUAACCGAAUAGGGGAGCCGAAGGGAAACCGAGUCUUAACUGGGCGUUAAGUUGCAGGGUAUAGACCCGAAACCCGGUGAUCUAGCCAUGGGCAGGUUGAAGGUUGGGUAACACUAACUGGAGGACCGAACCGACUAAUGUUGAAAAAUUAGCGGAUGACUUGUGGCUGGGGGUGAAAGGCCAAUCAAACCGGGAGAUAGCUGGUUCUCCCCGAAAGCUAUUUAGGUAGCGCCUCGUGAAUUCAUCUCCGGGGGUAGAGCACUGUUUCGGCAAGGGGGUCAUCCCGACUUACCAACCCGAUGCAAACUGCGAAUACCGGAGAAUGUUAUCACGGGAGACACACGGCGGGUGCUAACGUCCGUCGUGAAGAGGGAAACAACCCAGACCGCCAGCUAAGGUCCCAAAGUCAUGGUUAAGUGGGAAACGAUGUGGGAAGGCCCAGACAGCCAGGAUGUUGGCUUAGAAGCAGCCAUCAUUUAAAGAAAGCGUAAUAGCUCACUGGUCGAGUCGGCCUGCGCGGAAGAUGUAACGGGGCUAAACCAUGCACCGAAGCUGCGGCAGCGACGCUUAUGCGUUGUUGGGUAGGGGAGCGUUCUGUAAGCCUGUGAAGGUGUGCUGUGAGGCAUGCUGGAGGUAUCAGAAGUGCGAAUGCUGACAUAAGUAACGAUAAAGCGGGUGAAAAGCCCGCUCGCCGGAAGACCAAGGGUUCCUGUCCAACGUUAAUCGGGGCAGGGUGAGUCGACCCCUAAGGCGAGGCCGAAAGGCGUAGUCGAUGGGAAACAGGUUAAUAUUCCUGUACUUGGUGUUACUGCGAAGGGGGGACGGAGAAGGCUAUGUUGGCCGGGCGACGGUUGUCCCGGUUUAAGCGUGUAGGCUGGUUUUCCAGGCAAAUCCGGAAAAUCAAGGCUGAGGCGUGAUGACGAGGCACUACGGUGCUGAAGCAACAAAUGCCCUGCUUCCAGGAAAAGCCUCUAAGCAUCAGGUAACAUCAAAUCGUACCCCAAACCGACACAGGUGGUCAGGUAGAGAAUACCAAGGCGCUUGAGAGAACUCGGGUGAAGGAACUAGGCAAAAUGGUGCCGUAACUUCGGGAGAAGGCACGCUGAUAUGUAGGUGAGGUCCCUCGCGGAUGGAGCUGAAAUCAGUCGAAGAUACCAGCUGGCUGCAACUGUUUAUUAAAAACACAGCACUGUGCAAACACGAAAGUGGACGUAUACGGUGUGACGCCUGCCCGGUGCCGGAAGGUUAAUUGAUGGGGUUAGCGGUAACGCGAAGCUCUUGAUCGAAGCCCCGGUAAACGGCGGCCGUAACUAUAACGGUCCUAAGGUAGCGAAAUUCCUUGUCGGGUAAGUUCCGACCUGCACGAAUGGCGUAAUGAUGGCCAGGCUGUCUCCACCCGAGACUCAGUGAAAUUGAACUCGCUGUGAAGAUGCAGUGUACCCGCGGCAAGACGGAAAGACCCCGUGAACCUUUACUAUAGCUUGACACUGAACAUUGAGCCUUGAUGUGUAGGAUAGGUGGGAGGCUUUGAAGUGUGGACGCCAGUCUGCAUGGAGCCGACCUUGAAAUACCACCCUUUAAUGUUUGAUGUUCUAACGUUGACCCGUAAUCCGGGUUGCGGACAGUGUCUGGUGGGUAGUUUGACUGGGGCGGUCUCCUCCUAAAGAGUAACGGAGGAGCACGAAGGUUGGCUAAUCCUGGUCGGACAUCAGGAGGUUAGUGCAAUGGCAUAAGCCAGCUUGACUGCGAGCGUGACGGCGCGAGCAGGUGCGAAAGCAGGUCAUAGUGAUCCGGUGGUUCUGAAUGGAAGGGCCAUCGCUCAACGGAUAAAAGGUACUCCGGGGAUAACAGGCUGAUACCGCCCAAGAGUUCAUAUCGACGGCGGUGUUUGGCACCUCGAUGUCGGCUCAUCACAUCCUGGGGCUGAAGUAGGUCCCAAGGGUAUGGCUGUUCGCCAUUUAAAGUGGUACGCGAGCUGGGUUUAGAACGUCGUGAGACAGUUCGGUCCCUAUCUGCCGUGGGCGCUGGAGAACUGAGGGGGGCUGCUCCUAGUACGAGAGGACCGGAGUGGACGCAUCACUGGUGUUCGGGUUGUCAUGCCAAUGGCACUGCCCGGUAGCUAAAUGCGGAAGAGAUAAGUGCUGAAAGCAUCUAAGCACGAAACUUGCCCCGAGAUGAGUUCUCCCUGAC
rnacentral:rRNA from 1 species